rnacentral:rRNA from 1 species
GAAUAUUGCACAAUGGGCGGAAGCCUGAUGCAGCGACGCCGCGUGGGGGAUGAAGGUCUUCGGAUUGUAAACUCCUUUCAGUAGGGACGAAGCGAAAGUGACGGUACCUGCAGAAGAAGCACCGGCCAACUACGUGCCAGCAGCCGCGGUAAUACGUAGGGUGCAUGCGUUGUCCGGAAUUACUGGGCGUAAAGAGCUCGGAGGCGGUUUGUCGCGUCGUCUGUGAAAUCCUCCAGCGUAACUGGGGGCGUGCAGGCGAUACGGGCAGACUUGAGUACUACAGGGGAGACUGGAAUUCCUGGUGUAGCGGUGAAAUGCGCAGAUAUCAGGAGGAACACCGGUGGCGAAGGCGGGUCUCUGGGUAGUAACUGACGCUGAGGAGCGAAAGCAUGGGUAGCGAAC